UACGGAGGAUGCGAGCGUUAUCCGGAUUUAUUGGGUUUAAAGGGUGCGUAGGCGGUCUGUUAAGUCAGCGGUAAAAUUGCGGGGCUCAACCCCGUCGAGCCGUUGAAACUGGCAGACUUGAGUUGGCGAGAAGUACGCGGAAUGCGCGGUGUAGCGGUGAAAUGCAUAGAUAUCGCGCAGAACUCCGAUUGCGAAGGCAGCGUACCGGCGCCACACUGACGCUGAGGCACGAAAGCGUGGGGAUCGAACAGG
rnacentral:rRNA from 1 species